UACGUAGGGUGCAAGCGUUGUCCGGAAUUAUUGGGCGUAAAGAGCUCGUAGGCGGUUUGUCGCGUCGGCUGUGAAAACCCGAGGCUCAACCUCGGGCCUGCAGUCGAUACGGGCAAACUAGAGUACUGCAGGGGAGACUGGAAUUCCUGGUGUAGCGGUGAAAUGCGCAGAUAUCAGGAGGAACACCGGUGGCGAAGGCGGGUCUCUGGGCAGUAACUGACGCUGAGGAGCGAAAGCGUGGGGAGCGAACAGG
rnacentral:rRNA from 1 species